rnacentral:sRNA from 1 species
UUUUUGCAAUAAAUUAAUUAACAAACAAAAACAUUCCAAAUAUCUUUCAAUCCCAUAUAUCACGCAGAUUUCUCCAAAAUUUGAAGUAAAUUUUGGUAACUAUUUAAAACAAAAAAUAUUUGACAAACCAAAAUACAAUUGCAAUCCCUUAAAUUGAGCAAAAUGUACCUAAAUACAUUUCUUAUCAAUUCACUAAAUUUUAUUUCUCCAAAAUUUGAACUAGAUUUCGACAACUAUUUAAAACAAAAAUUUGUUUGACAAACUAAAAUACAAUUGCAAUCCCGUAAAAUAUUUAUUUUAAUUAUAUAUUUAAAUUAGCGGUGUACCGCGGGUUUUUUUACGGGACGGGUUUGGCGGAACGGUUUGGAAGGACGUUACUUAAUAACAAUUGUAAAUUAUAAAAUAAAAAUAUUUUAUAGAUAAAUAUAAUUUACAAACUUUUAUAUAUACUGAUUUUAAAAAAAUAAAUUGUCUCUGCGGUGUACCGUGGGUUAAAAUCUAGUAUAUCAACAUAUUUUCAACGAUUAAUUUCUGAUAAAAUUCCAACAAUUAAAUAAUCAUAAGUUUUCCACAAAUUUACAAGAAAAAAU